GGCCUUGUGGCUUAAUGGAAAAGUCUUGGACUUGGAAUCCAAAGACCUGGCUUAAAUCCCGGCUCUGCUA
rnacentral:tRNA from 1 species